CUCACACACUAGUUCUCAUAUGAUCACCAAAGUUAAGCAAUGUUGAGUCUGGUCAGUACUUAGAUGAGUGACUGCUUGAGAAUGUG